CUCCUCCGCCCCCGCGCCCAUGCCCAGCGACGGCCUGCUACCGAAUACUGCGCUGGUCUGCCUCCUCCUCAACCCAUAUCGGUGGCGCGGGCCGCUCCGAUUGAAACCCUAGGCGAGGGCCGUCGGAUCUAGCAGUGGUGGCGGCACCGGUAUCGCCUAUGGAGUUCCUGACCGGUGCCAAAUCACCGCUGGGUCUCCUUCGCCAUCCUGGCGACAGGUGCCCUGUCCGCCUGAGGCCGUGUCGUCCACCUGAUCCCGGCGAGUCGAAGCAAGGUCGCUGGCGUCGCGCGUGGCCUCCCUCGCCAAUCCCGCCGUCGGCAACCCUGUCCGCCUGUGGCUGCGGCGGUCGCCUGGUCCGGGCGAGGCGAAGCAAGGUGCAGUGGCCGGCGUCGCACGUGGCCUCCCUCGCCAAUCCCGCCGUACGCCCACCUGGUCCGGCGAGCCGAAGCCAACGCUCCCUUCAGCGCUGCACGCCCCAGCCCCAAAUCACGCCCCAGGUCAGGUUUGAUUUGGGCACGAGUCUGCUGCCCUUCGUAAUCCGGCUAGGUAAAUUUAUUGAUCCUCUUUUUUACUAGAAAGCUACUAACCUGGCUUGGUGCUAAAGUUUACUAAUGAGCUCUACCUUUAUCAUUGGUUCUCCUCUUGAUGGAAAAUAGAUAAUCUGCAAUACACAUGCUGAAUUGCUAAUAAGCUUUUAGCAGUUACACAUUGCUCAUUUAUUUGCUUACUUUGAUAUACUAUUGGUACCAUAGGCGAUUUGAAAUGGACUGGACUCCUGGUAUGGUAAAUGCAAUUCAUAAGGUAGCUAAAUUUAUUGAUCCUCUUUUUUACUAGAAAGCUACUAACCUGGCUUGGUGCACAGUGAUGGACUUCAUUUCAUUUCAAUUUAUUGAUCCUCUUUUUUACUAGAAAGCUACUAGCCUGGCUUGAUUAAAUUUAAUUCAUUUCAAUGGACUUCUCAUAUCAUUUUGUGUGCAGGAAGUUGCUUGCGUGCACAAUAAUCAAAUGAAAACAAUUAGUUUGUACUCAUUUCGUGAACUUAGCUCUGCCAUCUUUGCAUUUGGAGGAUUUCAUUUGCCUUCUUUCCCAUGUAAAUUCUAAACUUUGCUCACUACUCUUUCUUUUCAGCAAAAAUCUGGAAUAAUGGAGAAGAAGAAUAAGAUAGUAGAAGAGUGACAGAUUGCUGCAACCACUUAGCUCACGAGAUGACCAUCUAUCUGCACUUGUCUUUCCCUUUGUCCUGCUAAUUUAGUAUCAGGUACUGAAAAUUCUCGUAUUUGGUUGAGAUCUAAAGUAGGCAUAAGGUUGGAUGAGGAUGUGAAGGUCAAGGAGAUGAGGAAGGAGCACGUGACAAGAGCACAUCUGAUGCUAGAUUCUGCCUAAAAGGUAGCAGGUCUGAAGUCAUCUGCUCUCCUCUUUUAAUCUCAUUCAUUUUACAUGAUCAAAUAUUUAAUGGUUACAGCUACCAUUAUGAUAUUUUACCAGAUUAAUCAUGAUCGCUUUGAGACAUGCAGCUGUUAUUUUGAAAUCAAAAUUAUUUUAGCUGAAAAAUCUAAUUGAAAUGCGGAGUCAGUGAAGCCUUUGACAAUUCCUAGGUGCCAAGAUUCAGCCCAGGAGGCCAGUAUGGAUAUAUGGGAUUGUGUAUCAUUUGGAGUAUGGAUAUAUGUUCUUGUGUAUCACUUCGAAUUUCAGUACUUUCAUUUUCCAUAUUGAUGAAGUUAGGAAAAUAACAGGAUAAAAAUUUAAGUUACGUAUUUAUUUCACAUGUGAAGCUAUCCAAUGAAGUUGUGCAAUAUGGAGUGGCCACAUGCAAGUAAAGAGAGUCCAGAACAUUUGGUACUCAUAAUUUCUAACAUGUUUCUAACGAUUUUUCACUAAAUUCCAUAAUUGUUCAUAGCUA